GUGUCUUUGAAGUCAGACUUUGAACACGGUCCAACAGUUGCCAAAGGUCUUUUCUUUUAGAAGAUUAAAAGGAAAAGAUUAUGAACAUGUGUGGACAUUACUUCCUGGGAUGAGACCUAGGAAGAAUAAUCCUGCUAAGCAAACAAGACAAAUUUUUGAAUACACAGACGCUCACAAUAGACUAAAUUAAAUAAUACUACCAGCUAAAACCAGAGUGCUUCGGAAUAUCUUUAGGUUUGCAUUGUACCCAUUUUAUCUCUGCCCAGAUACACAGCCACAGCACUGAACCUAAAAAUUUCAACAUGGCCAGCUUUAAAUAAACUAUUUAGAACCCUGGGUUGACCACAGGCAUUGCUAACUCCAAGGGUGCCAGUUUCCUCCAUGCCAAACAGAAGAAUAAGCCUGUCAAAAACAGGAAUGAAGACAGCUGAGGAAUAGCUGGUGAGACGCUUAAUAUCCAUCCUUUUCAUUUUGGGUGUCAGCAUUGUGAGCAUUUACCUCUCAUGGUGGAGGGUGGAGGAGGCUUCGAUAAACUGUGAAGGCUGUGUGGAUUUAGAGCUGGUAUUGGAGGACCCUGUAAUAAAACAAACUCCUCUUUCAGGUUCCCCCAGUGAUGAAGAAUAAAUGGCACUUGUAUUUU